AGAGGGAGCAAACGUUGCUCGGAAUUAUUGGGCGUAAAGCGCGUGUAGGCGGCUUGUUAAGUCGGUUGUGAAAACCCAUGGCUCAACCAUGGAAGGGCGUCCGAAACUGGCAAGCUAGAGUCCCGACGAGGAUGGCGGAAUUCCCAGUGUAGAGGUGAAAUUCGUAGAUAUUGGGAGGAACACCGGUGGCGAAGGCGGCCAUCUGGGAGGGCACUGACGCUGAGACGCGAAAGCGUGGGGAGCAAACAGGAUUAGAUACCCUGGUAGUCCACGCCGUAAACGAUGAGCACUAGAUGUUGCGGGUAUUGACCCCUGCAGUGUCGACGCUAACGCAUUAAGUGCUCCGCCUGGGGAGUACGGCCGCAAGGCUA
rnacentral:rRNA from 1 species